AACUCCAGCCAGACCAAGUGGGAGGACCCAGGCUCCAAAACUCCUCCAGCACCAAACGCUGUGUCCCAAAUCUGUAAAGCUCUUCACCUGGCUGAGUCCUGUUUCCUCUCUCAGGAAGCUUUCUCCAGCCUUCUAAAGCCAGGAUAGGGUGCAUGCCGGGCCCCUUCAUAGCUAUGCGUUUUAAUGAUCUGUUCCCCCAGCGGAAUUCUGAGUGCUUUACCUGUUGUAUUAAUCCAUUCUCACACUGCUAUUAAAAACUACCUGAGACGAGGUAAUUUCAGAACAAAAGAGGUUUAAUUGACUCACAAUUCCACAGGGUUAAUAGGAAGCGUGACUGGGAGGCCUCAGGAAACUUACAAUGGUCGAAGGAGAAGCAAGUACCUUCUUACCAUGGAAGACCAGGAGAGAGAGAGUGAGGGUGGAAGUGCCAAACAUUUUUAAACCAUCAGAUCUCGUGAGAACUCACUACCAUGAGAACAGCAUGGGGGAAACCUGCCCCCAUGAUCCAAUCACCUCUCACCGGCCUCUUCUCCAACACUGAGGAUCACAACUCGAGAUGAGAGUUGGGUGGGGACACAGAGCCAAACCUUAUCACCCUUAACCCACAACAACCUUAUGAGGUGGAUACUGUUAUUAUCCCCAUUUUACAAACAAGGGAAAGAAAGCACAAACAGGUUAAAUAACUUACCCAAGGACACAAAGAAGUAGCAACUGGAUCCAGUCCAGUGUGGUCCCAGGCCCACAUCGGUAACCACCAUGCAGAGUGUUUCUUACUUCUCAUUGUAACCCUAGUGCAGAGCCUGAUUAGUAUAGUUGAUGUUAAGUAAUUUUUGUUUACCUCCAUAUUGUUUACUCAUUCAAUAAAUAUU
rnacentral:lncRNA from 1 species